rnacentral:lncRNA from 1 species
AUCCCAAGAAAGUUCAAUCAUGAUCUUGCACAAUGAAUAAAUGAAAAAAAAUCAAUUAGUAUCAUUCAGAAAUAUAACUUAUAUUAAUUCAGUUAUAUAAAUGUUAUAAGGAGAAGAGAACAAGAAGUACUACUUAUCGAAAUUUGAAAAUAAAAUAAGUUUAGUUCAUCAUAUAGUAUGUUUUUAAUUAUAAAAUAUAUUAUUAGUAGGGGCA